rnacentral:lncRNA from 1 species
GUAUCUUUCAUUGUAUUUGUAUUCAGUAAUUUCAUGACAUAUCAGUAGAAACGUGAUUCAGGCUAGUAGAAACACCACCAUAACAUAUAAUAGCUGUAACACCUCGCAUUCUGCUCUUAAAGUCAAAAGGGCCAGCUUUGAACUGACUGAAGGAUCAAAUCCUCUUUUCGAUAGCAAAAUGUCUCCUCUUCAUCUUCUAAUGAAACCCCUUGAUACCUUUCCAUAACAGACACACUUGUGGCUAAGGGGAACAAGCACAAAAGCAUAAAACCACAAAUGAAAUUUAAAAUGAAAUCUCAAUUUGCAGAACAACGUUACCUGUUUUCCAAGACAAAUGCCAGAGAAGCAGCAUAUUUUAGAGAACUGUUGUUAUUAUAAUUCGGAACUCAAGGGGGAAAAAAGAUAAUUGUAAAAGCUUUCUGCACGUAUGACUUUGUUAUGCUUGGCAAUUUUCACAUGGGGACUAAAAGCAAGAAUAAAACCAGGUGUGACACAGCCCCCCUGCCCCAGCUUAAUGAUCCCUUCCGAAAUCGUUCAGUCUGCCUGCAGUUGGGUGGGUAACUCUUGAGAGAGCUAGAAGUAGCAGGUGAGAGGGUUAAAUAAGCUUCUUAAACAACUUCCAUCCUGCCACUGCCCUGUUUUAAAAUCCCUGAAUUACUCACCGGCAGAACUGUUUAUUUCAUUAUUAAAAUGAGGCUGCAGAGCUCUCCCUUCUCCCACCCACGCAUGAUGUUCAUGGAAGGAGAACUACUCCCACAUGAUUACAAGGUGUCCCCCAUCAUGGGUACCUGUUACCUGGCUGCAGGAGCUGCUGACAGUAGAAAGUGCAAGGGCAGAAGAUCCUGUGAGAUUGUGUAGUUCAAAGCCCACCUCAAAAAGUCAUCAGCCAUAUCCUUUCCUCCAGUGAUUUGCUAGAAAUAAGUCCCUGUGCUGUGAGUAUUUUCUUGCUUUAGAGGAGCUUCAUAUCAGCUGUAGCUGCAUUGCUUCUCUGGCUGCCAGACCAGCUAAUACCUUGGUAAUGCAGUCAUGCAGCUUGUUCUGCAGUGACGUUUGUAUUUGUAUGUCCUCUUUACUCCCUG